rnacentral:rRNA from 1 species
GACGAACGCUGGCGGCGCGCCUAACACAUGCAAGUCGAACGAGCAAAGAGGAGCUUGCUUCUCUGAGCGAGUGGCGAACGGGUGAGUAACGCGUGAGGAACCUGCCUCAAAGAGGGGGACAACAGUUGGAAACGACUGCUAAUACCGCAUAAGCCCACGGGUCGGCAUCGACCAGAGGGAAAAGGAGUAAUCCGCUUUGAGAUGGCCUCGCGUCCGAUUAGCUAGUUGGUGAGGUAAUGGCCCACCAAGGCGACGAUCGGUAGCCGGACUGAGAGGUUGAACGGCCACAUUGGGACUGAGACACGGCCCAGACUCCUACGGGAGGCAGCAGUGGGGAAUAUUGCACAAUGGGGGAAACCCUGAUGCAGCGACGCCGCGUGGAGGAAGAAGGUCUUCGGAUUGUAAACUCCUGUUGUUGAGGAAGAUAAUGACGGUACUCAACAAGGAAGUGACGGCUAACUACGUG